rnacentral:rRNA from 1 species
CACCAGCGCCACGAGUGGGGACCAGUAUUAUUGGGCCUAAAGCGUCCGUAGCCGGAUUGAUAAAUCCCUUGUGAAAUUGUUGGGCUUAACCUAACAGCGUGCAGGGGACACUGUUGAUCUUGAGACCGGGAGGAGUCAGAAGUAUUCUUGGGGUAGCGGUAAAAUGCAAUAAUCCCUCGAAGACUACCUGUGGCGGAGGCGUCUGACCAGAACGGGUCUGACGGUGAGGGACGAAAGCUGGGGGA